UACGUAGGGUGCGAGCGUUGUCCGGAAUUAUUGGGCGUAAAGAGCUCGUAGGCGGUUUGUCGCGUCGACUGUGAAAACCUACAGCUUAACUGUGGGCUUGCAGUCGAUACGGGCAGACUUGAGUUCGGUAGGGGAGACUGGAAUUCCUGGUGUAGCGGUGAAAUGCGCAGAUAUCAGGAAGAACACCCGUGGCGAAGGCGGUUCUCUGGGACGGUACUGACGCUGAGACGCGAAAGCGUGGGGAGCGAACAGG
rnacentral:rRNA from 1 species